UGGUCAUUGCCAGGGCUUUCGGAAUGCAGUUUCUCAAUGGCUGUGGACAUGACCUAAAAGAAAAUACCCCAUUAGGUUUGUCUUCUGCUACCUUGCUAGCAUUCAGCCAACGGAGAACAUGG